rnacentral:lncRNA from 1 species
AGAGCUGAGGUAGCCAGGGCGCUAUGUGUGCAGAGCACCCAGGUUACAGCCCCGCCACCCAGACAUGCCCCAGCUGCCCUGCGUCACUCCUGAUGUAUCAGCCCCAAGAAGGGCAACCUGGACAAAACAUCAAAGUUGGGCACCUUUGAGCGGCAUGGAAGUUCUCCUCCUCUGCACUGAGUAAUUGGAACAAAACGACCCAGGCAGUCUUGCUGUAACAUCAAAGCUGCAUAUAAUAACCUCACAGAUGAAUUUAAGAGUGAAUACAUUCACAGUCACUGCUCAAGUUUGAAGUAUGCUGCAAUGUUUUUCAGCUUCAGAACCAAGCCACCUGCUAUUGCUUCCUCUAUUGACCCUUCUGGGCUGCAGUGGAAGGUGUGCGUUUAUCGUCUUUACAUAAGAAGUCAGUCUAAGAACAAUGACGAGGAUAGGAACAACCAAGAAUAGGACUAGGGGGGCAGGAGAGAAAUCCCAAAGGUAACAUAUAUGUUCAUAGAAAGCCCAGGC